AAUAUAAGAAGAGUCCAGACAUAGGAGGGGAAGUGUCCAUGGCAGGUGAAGAAGCAGUGUCUGUGUGGCCAAGAGCCCUUGGAGCAGGUGACAUGGUGGCCUGACCACUUUUCUAAGUCUUAGAGACAAUGAGAAUGGUGACUUACCAUGCUUCCAACUGCCAUCUUCACCAUAGAGCUGCAGCACUGUUCUCACAAAGUCCUUGGCAUUAAAACAAACAACGGGACAUUUACACCUCAGUGUCCAAAACAGUAUGUUCCUAAACAAAAGAAAAUUCACCAUUUAGAUAGUAAUUUGGGUCUUGGAAAAAUAUUGUAAUAUCAAAUUCUAUCUAUCCUUAUGUAGUAUAUACACACCUCGAUUAACUAGUGAAUCCUAUGAGCUCCUGUGCAGAAUACACACACUGGACCUGGUCCAAGCCUCCAAGUGUUCCACCUCUCGGCAUGCCAGGUCUUUCCUUCUGCCAUUGCACGGUGCCACUCCUACCCACACUGCUGAGGAUGGCAUAUGCUCUUGCAUGUCUACUCUUCUCCACCCACAACUUGUGCAACCUGCUCAAGAGAUGUUCUGGGCAAGCAGCCUACCCACACACCUUUCACAGAAGGACCCACACGUGCUAAACUGCAGCUUCUUCCAUCACCUUAUGAACUUCUGAAUCUGGGAUAACAGUUAACAUUUAUCAUAGCAGAUACCAGGCUACCAUUUCACAAGGUUGCCACACUGAAACUUAGUCACACUACUACAAGGCAGGCACUCCAUCCAGUAUGAAGAUGAAGAGACUUGGAUUCAGAUAUGUCACACCAAAUAGAUGCCACCUUGACAGGUGUUCUGUACACAUGGGCCCACUUGCUCAUGUGUAAUUCCAAGACUCCAAGAGUACUCAUGGAAAAUGGAGCUGACAACUGAAAAUGGAGAACUGAGAAGGAUGCCUGAACUGGAGUAUGGCACACCUGCAGUCCAUUUUUGGCUUUUUGCAUGCUGAGACAACACAUUAUAAGCCAAGCCACACAGUUCAAAUAGCCAGUUGUGUCUACUGGCCUGCUUGUACCUGAACCAAAUAAACCGCUUCCAGCAC
ensembl:antisense 4930557J02Rik RIKEN cDNA 4930557J02 gene